GGUGCUAUCGUCUAGUGGCAGGACAAUACGUUGUGGUUAGCAAAUUCUGGUUUAGGGUAGCUUGUUUCUUCUCUAGAUAGAUGUAUUUAAGACAGCAUCCGUGUAAACGGCGGUUCGAUCCCGUCUAGCGCUA